rnacentral:rRNA from 1 species
AAUAUUGAAAGAUUUAUCGGAUAAGGAUGGGCACGCGCAAGAUUAGGUAGUUGGUAGGGUAACGGCCUACCAAGCCGAUGAUCUUUAGGGGGCCUGAGAGGGUGAUCCCCCACACUGGUACUGAGACACGGACCAGACUCCUACGGGAGGCAGCAGUGAGGAAUAUUGGACAAUGGGUUAGCGCCUGAUCCAGCCAUCCCGCGUGAAGGACGACGGUUCUAUGGAUUGUAAACUUCUUUUAUAUAGGGAUAAACCUACUCUCGUGAGAGUAGCUGAAGGUACUAUAUGAAUAAGCACCGGCUAACUCCGUGCCAGCAGCCGCGGUAAUACGGAGGGUGCAAGCGUUAUCCGGAUUUAUUGGGUUUAAAGGGUCCGUAGGCGGGCUUGUAAGUCAGUGGUGAAAUCCGGCAGCUCAACUGUCGAACUGCCAUUGAUACUGCAAGUCUUGAGUAAAUUAGAAGUGGCUGGAAUAAGUAGUGUAGCGGUGAAAUGCAUAGAUAUUACUUAGAACACCAAUUGCGAAGGCAGGUCACUAUGUUUUAACUGACGCUGAUGGACGAAAGCGUGGGUAGCGAACAGGAUUAGAUACCCUGGUAGUCCACGCCGUAAACGAUGAUUACUCGUUUUUGGGGCUUUAGCUUCAGAGACUAAGCGAAAGUGAUAAGUAAUCCACCUGGGGAGUACGUUCGCAAGAAUGAAACUCAAAGGAAUUGACGGGGGCCCGCACAAGCGGUGGAGCAUGUGGUUUAAUUCGAUGAUACGCGAGGAACCUUACCAAGGCUUAAAUGGGAAUUGACAGGCUUAGAAAUAGGCUUUUCUUCGGACAAUUUUCAAGGUGCUGCAUGGUUGUCGUCAGCUCGUGCCGUGAGGUGUUAGGUUAAGUCCUGCAACGAGCGCAACCCCUGUCACUAGUUGCUAACAUUAAGUUGAGGACUCUAGUGAGACUGCCUACGCAAGUAGAGAGGAAGGUGGGGAUGACGUCAAAUCAUCACGGCCCUUACGCCUUGGGCCACACACGUGCUACAAUGGACGGUACAGAGGGUAGCUACCAGGUGACUGGAUGCAAAUCUCGAAAGCCGUUCUCAGUUCGGAUUGGAGUCUGCAACUCGACUCUAUGAAGCUGGAAUCGCUAGUAAUCGCGCAUCAGCCAUGGCGCGGUGAAUACGUUCCCGGGCCUUGUACACACCGCCCGUCAAGCCAUGGAAGUUUGGGGUACCUGAAGUCGGUGA